UCACCACCACCCCUGGCAGCACGUUCCAGGCACCCACCACCCUCUGUGUAAAAAAACUUGUCCCGCACAACUGCUUUAAACUUUGCCUCUCUCGCCCUUAAAGCGAUGCCCUCUAAGUCUUUGAUAUUUCCAUGCUGGUUUAAA